rnacentral:lncRNA from 1 species
AUGUAGGGAACCAGUUUUCUUUCUCUCUACGCAUCUGUUUCCUUUUUUCCCACGUAUCUGCUUCGUUUUCCUCUGUCAUGUUGUAAAGCCAUUCUUCCCAUUUGCCAAACCACGUAACAGAAAACUGUCAAUGGCCCCUGAGUUUCACAUAAUACUGAUCCUGGUGCCAAGAAAGAAUCAAACUGACUUUUAGGCCCAGUUCUAAAUUCCUGGGAAAGAAGCACAUUCAUCUACCUUCUGCUGUAAUCACGUCCUUACCUUGAAACAUCAUUGUUAACGCCCUAUAGAAAAGGGAUUCUAAGGUCUCUGCCCACCCUCCUUAUUUUAUAGAUGUGGAAACUAAGACCCAAAGACAGAGGCAUUGUGACAAGGUCACAGAACUGAGUGAAGCUUCGGCUGAGACCAGAACCCAGGGUUCUUGACUUCUCCGUGAGGGUUCCCUUCACCAAACAGAGCUGCCACAGGAUGAAAGCUAUCACAUGUGGGGCUGUUGGAGUGGAGGUGGGAGGGCACAGUGAGGGUACUUCUGAGAGAACAUGUUACAGGAAAGAAGUGGAGAUAAAUAUUUGGCAAAUUUGGGAUCAUGGCCUGGUAUCUAAGGGUCUGCUUCACACUCCGUCUCUCAGAAUACAGAUGCCUCAGGACCUUCCAGAACCUUCUGAAAGGGCUUCUAAGAAAACAGCGAGUACAAAACAUGAAAACAACUGCCCUCAGCUGCUCCUGGGGUCUCUGUAUUCCGACUGCAGCUGUGGAGAAUUGUUGUUGAAUUCCAUUCUCCAUGUUGCUCUAAAAGCAUUUCAAAGAGGUUCAGAGAAAGCCGGGUGCACUUUGGAGAUUUUAGAAGAAGAAAAAAGAAAGAUGAAGAAGGAGCAGACACUUCUGUUUGCCAUAUACCUGCUUCUCAAGAACUGUAAGCAUCUGUGAAGUUAAAAUAGAAAGUCCUUCCUAUGAGCAUUCUUCCAUAAAUACUAAUUAUGGUGUUAUGUGCAUUUACUUUAAUACCCACCCACUGUAAUUGCCUCCAAGCUGGGGACAUUUGUUAAGAAUCAUUGUUAUUCAACUAUUUUUUCUCAUUAUUUGGUCUUAUAAUGUAGAAAUGUUAUUGCAAUCCUUCCUAAGAUUUACAGAAUGUGUUUCUUGGGAGCAGCGGGGAGGGAGAAAGAUGGUAACACAGCAAAAGAAGCCAUAUUUUCUUAUUCCAUUAAUAUAAAGUUCAAAACCUGGCAAGACUAAACUGGGAUGGCUGCUAAG